AGCUCCAAUAGCGUAUACUAAAGUUGUUGCGAUUAAAAAGCUCGUAGUUGGAUCUCAGGCAUGGGCGCACGGUCCGCCUCGCGGCGGUCACUGUGUGGUUUGUUUCCCAUCCUACGCUUCCCGGUUGUUCAGCCCAUGGUGCUCUUCAUUGAGCGUUUUGGGUGGCCGGAACGUUUACUUUGAAGAAAUUAGAGUGUUCAAAGCAGGCACGUCGCCUGAAUAAUGGUGCAUGGAAUAAUGGAAUAGGACCUCGGUUCUAUUUUGCUGGUUUUCGGAACACGAGGUAAUGAUUAAGAGGGACAGACGGGGGCAUCCGUAUUGCGGUGUUAGAGGUGAAAUUCUUGGAUCAUCGCAAGACGAACAACUGCGAAAGCAUUUGCCAAGCAUGUUU
rnacentral:rRNA from 1 species